CCCCUGCUGACCCCAUGUGCUGACCCCUAGAGUCCCCUGUACCCCCCAUGCCCUCCUCCCUGACCUCUGGAGUCCGCUCCCCCAUUUUGACCCCCAGUAUCCCCCAACGGGACCCCCUUUCUGUCUCAUAGAAGCCACCCAGCUUUCCCCUCCCCACUCUUCCACCCCAUAGAAGCCCCACUUACACCUUCCCCCCCCUCCCCGGAUUCCACACAACCCCCUCUCCACCCCCAGACUCCCUUUCCACCCCACAGAAGCCCCACUAACCCCUUCCCCCCCCCCCCCUCAGCCUCCCUUUUCCCCACUUAGAAUCGUGCAGAAGGAUCUGGAGACGUCCUAGAGAGGUUUGGGGGCAUCCAGGGGGUUCUGGACUCAUGCAGAAGAGUCUGGAGAUGUCCAAGGAGGAUCCAGGGAGUCCCCAGGUAGGUCCUGUGGGCCCCUGGAAGGGUCUGGCAGCUCCCACGAUGGGCCCAGGAGCUCUGAGGAGUCUCUGGGCUGAUCUGGAGAUGUCCCAGUAGAGUCUGCGAGGGUCCCGGGAGUCCUCGUGUGGGUCUGAGUGGUCAUCCAGAAGGGUCUGGGGAUGUCCCAGAAAGGACUGGGAGGGUCCGGGGGUCCUUAGUUGGGUUCAGAGGGUCCUGUUGUCCUCUGGAAGGGUCUGAAGAUGUCCCAGGAGUGUCUUGGGUUGCCCAGGGGGUGCUCAUGUGGGUCUGGGGAGUCCUGGAGCCAUCCAGAAGGGGUCUAAAGAUGUCCCAGAGAGGACUUGGAGGGUCUGGGCGGUGCUUAGGUGGGUUAAGAGGGUCCUGUUUCUUCUGGAAGGGUCUGAAGAUGUCCCGGAAGUGUCUUGGGGUGUCCAGGGGUUGCUCGUGUGGGUCUGGGGGGUCCUGGAGCCAUCCAGAAGGGUCUGGAGAUGUCCCAGAAAGGCCUUGGAGGGUCCAGAGGGUCCUCCUGUUGAUCCAUUGGGGUCCGCAGAUUCAUCCAGAAGCGUCUGGAGAUGUCCAAGAAGGAUCGUGUAGGGUCCAGGGGGGUCUCCAGGUGUGCCCAGAGCAUCCUUGCAGUCAUCCAGAAGGGUCUGGGGAUGUUUCAGAGAGGACUUGGAGUGUCUGGGCGGUCCUUGGGUGGGUUGUUGUCCUUCUGGAAGGGUCUGAAGAUGUCCCAGGAGUGUCUUGGGGUGUCCAAAGUGUGC
rnacentral:lncRNA from 7 species